GAACGUACGCUGGCGGCACGCCUAACACAUGCAAGUCGAACGAAGUAGCAAUACUUAGUGGCAGACGGGUGAGUAGCAUGUAGGUAUCUGCCCUUUGGCCUGGAAUAACACGAGGAAACUUGUGCUAAUACCGGAUAAGUCUUUACGGAGAAAGCUUUAUGCACCAUUGGAUGAGCCUGCACUUGAUUAGUUUGUUGGUGGGGUAAUGGCCUACCAAGACUGUGAUCAAUAGCUGAUUUGAGAGGAUGAUCAGCCACAUUGGGACUGAGACACGGCCCAAACUCCUACGGGAGGCAGCAGUGGGGAAUCUUGCACAAUGGAGGAAACUCUGAUGCAGCGAUGCCGCGUGAGUGAAGAAGGCCCUUGGGUUGUAAAGCUCUUUCGUCGGGGAAGAAAAUGACUGUACCCGAAUAAGAAGGUCUGGCUAACUUCGUGCCAGCAGCCGCGGUAAUACGAAGGGACCUAGCGUAGUUCGGAAUUACUGGGCUUAAAGAGUUCGUAGGUGGUUGAAAAAGUUAGUGGUGAAAUCCCAGAGCUUAACUCUGGAACUGCCAUUAAAACUUUUCAGCUAGAGUAUGAUAGAGGAAAGCAGAAUUCCUAGUGUAGAGGUGAAAUUCGUAGAUAUUAGAAAGAAUACCAAUUGCGAAGGCAGCUUUCUGGAUCAUUACUGACACUGAGGAACGAAAGCAUGGGUAGCGAAGAGGAUUAGAUACCCUCGUAGUCCAUGCCGUAAACGAUGUGUGUUAGACGUUGGAAAUUUAUUUUCAGUGUCGCAGGGAAACCGAUAAGCACACCGCCUGGGGAGUACGACCGCAAGGUUAAAACUCAAAUGAAUUGACGGGGACCCGCACAAGUAGUGGAGCAUGUGGUUUAAUUCGAAGAUACGCGCAGAACCUUACCAACACUUGACAUGUUCGUCGCGACUCUAAGAGAUUAGAGUUUUCGGUUCGGCCGGACGAAACACAGGUGCUGCAUGGCUGUCGUCAGCUCGUGUCGUGAGAUGUUGGGUUAAGCCCCGCAACGAGCGCAACCCUCACUUUUAGUUGCCAUCAUUAAGUCGGGCACUCUGAAAGAACUGCCAGUGAUAAGCUGGAGGAAGGUGGGGAUGACGUCAAGUCCUCAUGGCCCUUACAUGUUGGGCUACACACGUGCUACAAUGGUAUCUACAACAGGAAGCAAAACUGCGAAGUUAAGCAAAUCCCUAAAAGAUACCUCAGUUCGGAUUGCACUCUGCAACUCGAGUGCAUGAAGCUGGAAUUACUAGUAAUCGUGGAUCAGCGUGCCACGGUGAAUGCGUUCCCGGGUCUUGUACACACCGCC
rnacentral:rRNA from 1 species